rnacentral:rRNA from 1 species
AGUGAACGCUGGCGGUAGGCCUAACACAUGCAAGUCGAACGGCAGCACAGUAAGAGCUUGCUCUUACGGGUGGCGAGUGGCGGACGGGUGAGGAAUACAUCGGAAUCUACUUUUUCGUAGGGGAUAACGUAGGGAAACUUACGCUAAUACCGCAUACGACCUACGGGUGAAAGCAGGGGAUCUUCGGACCUUGCGCGAUUGAAUGAGCCGAUGUCGGAUUAGCUAGUUGGCGGGGUAAAGGCCCACCAAGGCGACGAUCCGUAGCUGGUCUGAGAGGAUGAUCAGCCACACUGGAACUGAGACACGGUCCAGACUCCUACGGGAGGCAGCAGUGGGGAAUAUUGGACAAUGGGCGCAAGCCUGAUCCAGCUAUACCGCGUGGGUGAAGAAGGCCUUCGGGUUGUAAAGCCCUUUUGUUGGGAAAGAAAAGCAGCAGGUUAAUACCCCGCUGUUCUGACGGUACCCAAAGAAUAAGCACCGGCUAACUUCGUG